CUUUGAGACACUUGGAUUGCAGUGGACAAGCAGUAUGAAGGAAUUUUACUAAGUUUUGGGGUAGUUUUAUGGGCCUUUUUUGUGACUGAUGCCAUCACCACCCAUCGAUAAAUGCUGUGGGAUGUUCUCCCCGCGGCACUCUUUUCAAAACAUAUUUUCCAUCUGUUUGCCUACAGGUAGAUCAAGGACCUGGACAAAGGACCAUGAGUCUGCCUCAUCACAUCCGAGAAAAGGAGGGUCAAGACCUGUGAAAAAGAGGACACCUACAGAGGACCAGGAGUCUGAUACAUCACAGCCAGAAGAAAGAAAGAAAAACGAUUCAUCAAGAAAGAAGAGGAAGAUGUGGAGCAAAGAAGAAGUCCAAGCUGUGGAACAGGAGCUGAUGCACAGCAUUAAGACUGGCAAGGUUCCUGGUAAAGCACAGUGUCUUGAAUGUAUCCGUGCAUUUCCAGAGGCACUUAAAGGUAGGACCUGGGAUGCUGUCAAGUACUACGUGAAAAACAGAAUAGACGCUUGGAAGCGGCAGUCAAUGUCACACUAACUGCAAGUUGUUCUUGCUCUUUUGUGUUCGAAAGAGGCAGUUCUAACAGUGACCAUCGUUUGAUCUGAGUCAUAAUUUUUUAUUUAUUUUAAGAGGUACAAUUUGUAUCGGUUGUGCUAAAUUUAAAAAUGUUAUUACCAC
ensembl:lncRNA